CUCACGUGUUCUCUCUCACUCCAACCACUCAUCUUCAUUCAUCAUCCUAGAACAAGCAAAAAAUGAUUCCUCUUCCUCGGACCUGAAUUCCAUGCAUUCAAAUGACCAUGCAGUCAUGCAUUUCUGGCCUUUAGAUCAAAAUUUUGAUGGUCCCGAAUUCAAAAUGAAUGGCUAUGAUUAACCUGCAGUUAAAUAGUGACUGCAGGGAAUCCAAAUCCCUCUUCCUCUCUUGAAGCAUCACGCAGUCACCACCACACCAAACCACAACCUUCUUCAUUGUCUCACAAUCUCUCACAUGCAAGUUCACAUUAAGCUUAAGAUUUUGGUUGUGGUUAAAGUAGAAACAACAACAAACAUUUCAAUCUUCUCUCUCCUCACGCAAAAACAUCAAGAACAACACCAAGGUCAUGAUUUUUCUAUUGGCACAUAUGGAAAUCACUACUCACAAGAUCUAUUCAACCCCAUACCUUAUUAACUACUAGAAAUCAAAACAAGAGACAAGCAUCCUCCUCCCUUCUCUUGGUACUGCCCAUGUUCUUCAAUUUCUUCUCAAAGAUGCACACCUUCUCCCCUUCAUAGGUUUUGGGUUAGUAAUGAGGCAUGGAAACCUGUUUUAAGAUAGGGUCAUGAUAUUGUAGAAUUACAGAAUUUUGGCGGCGGGUUUUGCAUGCUUGAGCCACUCAAACGGAUACAUAAGGGNNNNNNNNNNNNNNNNNNNNNNNNNNNNNNNNNNNUGGAGCUGCUGGAAAUUCACAGGUGGGUUCCUUUAGAAGCUUAAAUUUUAGAUUAGUUAGCACCUUUAGUUUCCCCAAAUUCAAUAUAUGUAUGAUAACAUUAGUAUUAGUUAGGAAAUUAGUCUCCCCAAAAAUUAUGCAUGACAACAAUAGGAAAAAUUAGGAAAUAGUUGUGUGAGAAGAUUUAAUCCCAAAACUAUCUACAUUCUAAUUAUAUAAUAAUAUUUUAGUUUCUUAUGACCGGACAUGAAUGAGAUUGUAGGUGGAAACUGAUAAACUCUUUUAAAAGUAAAAGCUGAGAAUUGAACUGGUAUUCUCGCAUAGCGAGCAUCUUGCUUCGCUAAGCGAGCGUAUCAAAUUAGGACUCUGUAGAAUCUACAUUUUAAAUAAAAAUCUACUCGUUUUAUAUCCCUGACUAUUCUGGAAUAUUUCGUAAGCAG
rnacentral:lncRNA from 1 species